rnacentral:lncRNA from 1 species
CAAUAAAAAAACCGAAUUAAAAUAUAUACAGUAAAUAAUUUAGAACAUAUAAAAGACAUUUAUGUUUGUACUAAAACUAUUUUUUAUUUAAAUAGUUUUCAAGAUUAUCUUGUUGCAGGUUGUCUAGACAACACUAUUUAUGUUAUAAAUAUGUUUGUUACAAAACCGAAGGAAAUAAAUGUUUUAUCCACAAUUAAAUAUUGCAAAUUAUUAUCAUGCGUUGACGUAUAUGGCAAUAUUUUAUCCUUAGGAGGAGGAAACGGAAAUUGGUUUAUUUGUUUACAAGAUGAGAAAACAAAUAUAAAUUCCAAAAAAAAAGAUGAAAGUUUUUUCAACUGUUAUAAGGAUACAAAAUUUUCUUACCAAAGCCAUAAUAUAUCUAGUUUAGUUAAAAAAUUUAAAUUAAAUGAAGCUUUGAUGUCAUUAAUUAAGCAAGACCCUCGCGCUACAGUUUCCUUACUAGAAUAUUACUCCAAAAAACCAUGUUAACCAAUGGAUAAACUCUACAACGAAUGAGAAGUUGUCAUAUGAAUUGUCACUGUUGCUUCGGGUAAUAAUGCAAAAGAAAGAAAGAAAAAAAAAAAAGAAAAAAAAAAAAUA